rnacentral:rRNA from 1 species
UCGAGGAUCUUCGGCAAUGGGCGCAAGCCUGACCGAGCGACGCCGCGUGUGGGAUGAAGGCCUUCGGGUUGUAAACCACUGUCGGAGGGGAUGAAAUGCCCAGGGGUUCUCCCCAGGGAUUGACAUAGCCUCAAAGGAAGUACGGGCUAAGUUCGUGCCAGCAGCCGCGGUAAGACGAACCGUACGAACGUUAUUCGGAAUCACUGGGCUUAAAGGGUGCGUAGGCGGCGCGGAAAGUUGGGUGUGAAAGCCCUCGGCUCAACCGAGGAAUUGCGCCCAAAACUACCGUGCUUGAGGAAGAUAGAGGUGAGCGGAACUUAGGGUGGAGCGGUGAAAUGCGUUGAUAUCCUAAGGAACACCGGUGGCGAAAGCGGCUCACUGGAUCUUUUCUGACGCUGAGGCACGAAAGCUAGGGGAGCAAACGGGAUUAGAUACCCCCGUAGUCC